ensembl:snoRNA small nucleolar RNA, C/D box 54
UGGCUAUGAGGAUAAUGCUUAAAAUGAAUGGCAGUGAUCACUUAAUACGCUAUUCUGAGCCAACA